rnacentral:SRP_RNA from 1 species
UGCAUGGCAUGUACCUAUAGUCCCAGCUAUAGAGAAGAUGAGUCAGAGAGAUUGUUUGUGCCCAGGAGUUCUAGGCUAUAGUGCACCUAUGCUAAUCUGGUGUCCACAGGAAGUUCAGUAUCAAUAUGGUGACCUCUCAGGAGCAGGGAAACCACUAGGUUGCUUAAGGAGAGGGGAACUGACCCAGGUCAGCAAUGGAGCAGGCCAGAAUUCCCCUGAUCAGUAAUGGAAUUGUACCUGUUAAUAGCUACUACACUCCAGCCUAGGCAACAUAGUAAGACCCCACCUCUU